AUUUUAUUUCUAGUGAUUGGAAUGAUGGGAAUUUAAACCCCUUUCAGAGUAACAAUUGGAGGGCAAGUCUGGUGCCAGCAGCCGCGGUAAUUCCAGCUCCAAUAGCGUAUAUUAAAGUUGUUGCAGUUAAAAAGCUCGUAGUUGGAUGUCUGCUGGAAGCAAUCAGUCCGCCCUAUUUGUAGGGUGUGCACUUGAUGAAUUCUGGCAUUUUUGUCCCAAUGAUGUAACGGGGCGGUGGUAUUCGGUGAAAGCCGAGUAUCCUGUUUUCCGAUUAUUGGGAUACUGUUACUUUGAGAAAAUUAGAGUGUUUGAAGCAGGCUAAUUGCCUUGAAUACUGCAGCAUGGAAUAACAAUAUAGGAUUUCGGUUCUAUUUUGUUGGUUUCUAGGACUGAAAUAAUGAUUAAUAGGGACAGUUGGGGGCAUUCGUAUUUAACUGUCAGAGGUGAAAUUCUUAGAUUUGUUAAAGACGAACUACUGCGAAAGCAUUUGCCAAAGAUGUUUUCAUUAAUCAAGAACGAAAGUUAGGGGCUCGAAGACGAUCAGAUACCGUCGUAGUCUUAACCAUAAACUAUGCCGACUAGAGAUAGGAAAAUGUCAUUUUGCUGACUUCUCCUGCACCUUAUGAGAAAUCAA
rnacentral:rRNA from 1 species